ensembl:miRNA
AUCUUAUUCCCACCAUUUCAGUAACUGAUUUUGUGUAUGUACUUAGCUGUAUUAUAAGUAGUUGGUUUGUAUGAGAUGGUUAAAAA